GUUUCGGUGGUCAUAGCGUAGGGGAAACGCCCGGUUACAUUCCGAACCCGGAAGCUAAGCCUUACAGCGCCGAUGGUACUGCAGG
rnacentral:rRNA from 3 species